rnacentral:rRNA from 1 species
CCUACGUGAGGCAGCAGUGAGGAAUAUUGGUCAAUGGCCGAGAGGCUGAACCAGCCAAGUCGCGUGAGGGAAGACGGCCCUACGGGUUGUAAACCUCUUUUGUCGGGGAGCAAAGCGAGUCACGUGUGACUCUUUGAGCGUACCCGAAGAAAAAGCAUCGGCUAACUCCGUGCCAUCAGCCGCGGUAAUACGGAGGAUGCGAGCGUUAUCCGGAUUUAUUGGGUUUAAAGGGAGCGUAGAUGGGUUGUUAAGUCAGUUGUGAAAGUUUGCGGCGCAAACGUAAAAUUGCAAUUGAUCCUGGCAGUCUUGAGUACAGUUGAGGUAGGCGGAAUUCGUGGUGUAGCGGUGAAAUGCUGAGAUAUCACGAAGAACUCCGAUUGCGAAGGCAGCUUACUAAACUGCCACUGACAUUGAUGCUCGAAAGUGUGGGUAUCAAACAGGAUUAGAUACCCGGGUAGUC